UGGUAUUGAUUGGUGCUUGCAUCAUGAUUUACAUUUGAGUGAGUGGCGAACUGGUGAGUAACACGUGGGAAACCUGCCCAGAAGCGGGGGAUAACACCUGGAAACAGAUGCUAAUACCGCAUAACAACUUGGACCGCAUGGUCCGAGUUUGAAAGAUGGCUUCGGCUAUCACUUUUGGAUGGUCCCGCGGCGUAUUAGCUAGAUGGUGGGGUAACGGCUCACCAUGGCAAUGAUACGUAGCCGACCUGAGAGGGUAAUCGGCCACAUUGGGACUGAGACACGGCCCAAACUCCUACGGGAGGCAGCAGUAGGGAAUCUUCCACAAUGGACGAAAGUCUGAUGGAGCAACGCCGCGUGAGUGAAGAAGGGUUUCGGCUCGUAAAACUCUGUUGUUAAAGAAGAACAUAUCUGAGAGUAACUGUUCAGGUAUUGACGGUAUUUAACCAGAAAGCCACGGCUAACUACGUGCCAGCAGCCGCGGUAAUACGUAGGUGGCAAGCGUUGUCCGGAUUUAUUGGGCGUAAAGCGAGCGCAGGCGGUUUUUUAAGUCUGAUGUGAAAGCCUUCGGCUCAACCGAAGAAGUGCAUCGGAAACUGGGAAACUUGAGUGCAGAAGAGGACAGUGGAACUCCAUGUGUAGCGGUGAAAUGCGUAGAUAUAUGGAAGAACACCAGUGGCGAAGGCGGCUGUCUGGUCUGUAACUGACGCUGAGGCUCGAAAGUAUGGGUAGCAAACAGGAUUAGAUACCCUGGUAGUCCAUACCGUAAACGAUGAAUGCUAAGUGUUGGAGGGUUUCCGCCCUUCAGUGCUGCAGCUAACGCAUUAAGCAUUCCGCCUGGGGAGUACGGCCGCAAGGCUGAAACUCAAAGGAAUUGACGGGGGCCCGCACAAGCGGUGGAGCAUGUGGUUUAAUUCGAAGCUACGCGAAGAACCUUACCAGGUCUUGACAUACUAUGCAAAUCUAAGAGAUUAGACGUUCCCUUCGGGGACAUGGAUACAGGUGGUGCAUGGUUGUCGUCAGCUCGUGUCGUGAGAUGUUGGGUUAAGUCCCGCAACGAGCGCAACCCUUAUUAUCAGUUGCCAGCAUUAAGUUGGGCACUCUGGUGAGACUGCCGGUGACAAACCGGAGGAAGGUGGGGAUGACGUCAAAUCAUCAUGCCCCUUAUGACCUGGGCUACACACGUGCUACAAUGGAUGGUACAACGAGUUGCGAACUCGCGAGAGUAAGCUAAUCUCUUAAAGCCAUUCUCAGUUCGGAUUGUAGGCUGCAACUCGCCUACAUGAAGUCGGAAUCGCUAGUAAUCGCGGAUCAGCAUGCCGCGGUGAAUACGUUCCCGGGCCUUGUACACACCGCCCGUCACACCAUGAGAGUUU
rnacentral:rRNA from 2 species